CAUCUGAAGAUAAAGGUGAAGCUCUUAAACAUAAAUUUGAGGUCCCAACCCAAACCUCCUGAUACGGUUUUGCUAUGUCCCCACUCAAACCUCAUCUUGAAUUGUAGCUCCCAUAAUCCCCAUAUGUUGUGGGAGGGACCUGGUGGGAGGUAAUUGAAUCAUGGGGACAGGUUUUUCCUGUGCUGUUCUCAUGAUAGUGAAUAAGUCUCACAAGAUCCGAUGGUUUUAUAAAGGGCUGCUCUCCUGCACAUGCUGUCUUAUCUGCCACCAUGGAAGACAUGCUUUUGCUUCUCCUUUGCCUUCUGCCAUGAUUACGAGGCCUCCCCAGACAUGGUUAUGGCAUAAAACUGGCUUUAAAGUCUUCAGGGUCACUGGCAGACAACAUCCUCAUCUGGUAUGGUGAUCCUUAAAACUAAGGAACUAAAGAUAGUCAUCCAUUCCUGUCUUCUUAAAUAGCCUCUUCAUUUUUCAGAAAACCAUAAAGGGCUGGGCACGGUGGCUCAUACUUGUAAUCCCAGCACUUUAGGAGGUCAAGGCAGGAGGAUCACUUGGGCCCAGGACUUUGAGACCAGCUUGGGCAACACAGCAAGACCUCAUCUUCAGAAAAAAGAAAAAAAAGAAAACCCUAAAGAUAGGAUCGCACUUGCUCUAUGAAUUUAGAGUUUUAAAUGGCAUCGUUUUAUGCUACGCAUUCUUUUCUUUUGAAGACAGCAGCUUUCCCAUGAAUGGCUUUUUAUAUUCCUUAUCCCGUUCUUGGAUCUCCUGCAGCUCUGGAGAGCACCCAACUUCAUGAUGUCACAAGUGAGCAAGUUUGAACCAUGAAAAGAGAAAAGCGCAUCUCGUUGUGCCCUGCUCUCUGUAGGAUCACCUGCUGUGAGAGGAGCCAUGUGGUAAGGACAUUCAAGCAGGCUUGGAAAGCUCCACGUGGCAAAGAACGGAGGCCUUUGGCCAGCAGCCUGCAUCCAUUCUCCAGCCCUGUGGGUGAGCGCCCAGGAAGCAGGCUCCAUCCCCAGCCCAGCCUUCAGAUGACUGCAUCUUGGCCGGCAUUUGGACUGCAACUUCAUGGGAGACCCUGAAUGAAAACACCCAGCCAAAUCUCUUCCGAAUUCCUGACCCACAGAAACUGUGAAAAAGCUCCUGGUUUUUGUGGUUUUAAAUUGCUAAGUUCUGAAGUAAUUUGUACUCAGUAAUAUUUUUUAAAUACUCAGCACUCAGUAAAUAUUUAUUGAACAAAUGAAUGAAUAAAUGAUUGAGUGAAUUAGACUAAAAGCAACAGAGGGCAUGGCCUCACACCCUCUAUUUAUUUAUUUACAGACAGGGUCUUUCUCUGUUGACCAGGCUGGAGUGGUGCAGUAGUACGAUCAUAGCUCACUGCAGCCUCAAACUCCUGGAUUUAAGCAAUCCUGCGGUGUCAGCCUCCUGAGUAGCUGGGACUACAGGUGCUCACCACUGUGCCCAGCUAAUUUUUUAUUUUUUGUAGAGAAGGAGCCUUGCUAUGUUGCCCAGGCUGGUCUUGAGCUCCUGGGCUCAAGUGAUCCUCCUGUCUCAGCCUUCCAACAUGCUAGGAUUACAGGCAUGAGUCACCAUGCCUGGCUGACACCCUCUGUUUUAACCUGAUAGGAUGCAUGUGCCACAGUCCUCUCCUCUGUUCUGUAAGUUUUAGAUCCUAGAGCAAUAUUUCUCCACCUCAGCACUAUUUUUCUUUGAGGUCACAUAAUAUUUUGUGGGGGAGGGUGGGUGGCCCUGUUCAUUGUAGGAGGAUGUUUAGCAGUAUCCCUGGUCUCUACCCACUAGCUGCCAGAAGCAACCCCUUCCUCCAACAAAGUUGUCACAACCAAAAAUGUCACCAAAUUUGCCAAAUGUCCCCUGGGGUACAAUAUUGCCCCCACUUAAGAGCUACUGCUCUAAGGUUGUCACUGAAAAGAGAGUAGAAGUACUCACAAUACUAGCUGGGUCCAGAGAUGCUAAAAAAUGAUACAAUGUUUUCAAAAUAUUUGGCUUACAAAAAUC
rnacentral:lncRNA from 1 species